UCCUAUCAAGUUGCUAUGGUGAAGGCAACCCAAAAGGACCAUGCACAACCGGGUCAAAUACUUGCCUAAUAUAGUUGCAGCCUUAGACACUAUUCCAACAGUCUCCCACUUGGAUAAGUCUAGUAACUAUAUGCACAAGUACAAUUCGGUUUGCAAUCGUAGCUCUCAAAGACGCUGUCAAACUCUGAUCUAAUCAAUCUUGUCCUUUAGAUAAGGGAUCGUACAGUCCUCUGUUAGAUAUCAUGCUGACAAUCCUAUGGAAUGGUUAGUCAAGCAUUUAGGUUUCUCGAUCUCUGAUUUAUUUGACAUAGAACUUAAUCGAACACAUCAAUUUAGUUCUGACCGGGCCCGGCACAUAAGUCAAAUCAAAUCAUCGAGCGGCCGAGAUAUCGCUUUUACCUUCUUAGAUAAAAGUUACAGAUAAACUUCGACUUAUAUGCAUUUACUUAUUCAUUAACCAACUAUACACAACAAUGCGUUUUAUAACACCGAGUUACUGAUGCGUUUUCGCAUUAUCAAUGUACAAUCAAUUAACAAAUAACAAACCAUAUAUCUAGGUUUUAAGACUAUAUGAUAUUAUCGUCUUGCGAUCACCCUUUUAUAUCAUAUUCCAUAAGGUGAUUCCAGCAAGCGCGGGUUUGUUCCAAUGCUCAAAACUAGUUCAUAAGCACUCAUGAACGUUGCAGCAACCCUUUGCUAUGUCUAACACCAUUUAGACAAUCUACACACCAAUUCAUGACAAUCUUCAUUCAUAUCUACUUCCAACAUAUGAACGAUUGUGGACAAUUUGAACAAUUCGAUUAUUCCUAAUAAACUCAAUUAUUCUGGAAGUCAAAACAUGCAAAGUGAAACAAUAGUUAAACAAUUAACAUAAGAUAGUAACAUUACUCAUAAAUAAAACUCCUUUAUUUAAUCAUCAAAUGUUAAUUACAUUUAUCUAUUACACGUUUCUAAUACUAUCUAAUCUAUGCUAAUAUCAUCCUUCAGCCCAAUACUCCUAGCAUGCUGCAAGUGCUUAACCCUACUCAGUCCCUUCGUAAGCGGAUCUGCUGGGUUAUCUUCUGAUGAUAUCCUCUUCACUACGAGUUGUCCUUCUUCUACACGAUGUCUAAUGAAGUGAUAUUUUCUGUCGAUAUGUCUUGAUCUACCAUGAUCCCUCGGUUCCUUGGUCAAGGCAACCGCUCCUUCGUUAUCACAGAAAAUCUCCAUGGGCUCCUUUAUGGCAGGUACAACUCCAAGAUCACCGAUGAAGUUCUUUAGCCAUAUUGCCUCCUUCGACGCUUCGCUCGCUGCAAUGUACUCUGAUUCGCACGUUGAAUCAGCUACGGUUUCCUGCUUGGAACUCUUCCAUGUCACUGCUCCUCCAUUUAGGGUAAAGACCCAGCCCGACUGCGAACGGUAGUUGUCCCUGUCGGUCUGAAAACUGGCGUCACUAUACCCUCGCACCUUCAAGUCAUCACUCCCUCCGAGGACUAAGAACCAUUCCUUCGUCCUCCGAAGGUACUUAAGGAUAUUCUUCACCGCAAUCCAAUGUGCUCUGCCAGGAUUCCCUUGAUAUCUGCUAACCAUGCUCAAAGCGAAGGCUACAUCAGGGCGAGUACAAGUCAUAGCGUACAUGAUUGAGCCAACUGCGGAAGCGUAUGGUACUCGGCUCAUUUCUGCUAUCUCAGCUUCGGUACUCGGACUUUGAGUCUUACUCAAUUUGGCAUUACUUUGUAUCGGUAGUUCUCCCUUCUUUGAGUUUUCCAUACUAAAACGUUUUAGUACCUUCUCUAAGUAAGUAUUCUGACUAAGUCCAAUUAGUCUCUUACUUCUUUCUCUUACUAUCCUUAUUCCCAAAAUGUAAGAAGCCUCUCCGAGGUCCUUCAUAGCGAAGCACUUCCCGAGCCAGGACUUAACCUCCUGCAGAGUCGGGAUGUCGUUUCCUAUGAGUAAUAUGUCAUCGACAUAUAGAACGAGGAAGCUUACUAUACUCCCACUGGCUUUGACAUAUACACAAGAUUCGUCUUCGCUUCGUACAAAUCCAAACUCUUUGACUUUCUCAUCGAAGCAAAGAUUCCAUCUGCGAGACGCUUGCUUAAGUCCAUAAAUGGACUUCUCAAGCUUACACACUCUAUUCGGAUGCUUCGGAUCCACAAACCCCUCUGGCUGAGCCAUGUAAACAUCCUCAGCCAACUUUCCGUUAAGGAAAGCGGUCUUGACAUCCAUUUGCCAAAUCUCAUAAUCAUGAAAUGCGGCAAUUGCUAGCAUCACUCUAAUAGAUUUAAUCUUCGCAACUGGUGAGAAGGUCUCAUCAUAGUCAACUCCGGGAGUUUGAGUAAAGCCCUUCGCAACCAAUCGCGCUUUAUAUGUGUGUACGUUUCCAUCCACGUCGGUCUUCUUCUUGAAGAUCCAUUUGCACCCAACGGUCUUACGUCCGGGCACAUAAUCAACCAAAUUCCAAACUUGGUUAUCAUACAUGGAUUGGAUCUCGCUAUCCAUUGCCUCUUUCCAUUUUGCAGACUCCGGGCCUGCCAUGGCUUCCUUAUAGCUAUUAGGUUCAUCAAGAUUUAUUAGUGUACCAUCACUAAUAUACGUGUCCCCUUCGGUAGUAAUAUGAAAACCAUAAAACUGGGGUUGAACUCUAACUCUAUCGGAACGUCUAAGAGGUAAGGAUUCGUCAAUCGGUUCAACCGGAGUUUCCUCCUCGGGUUGAGUGCCAGCGGUAGAGGUUCCUUCAUCUAUCGACUCUUGAAUCUCUUCAAGCUCGAUUUGCCUCCCACUGUCUCCUUGGCUUAUGAGUUCUCGCUCUCGGAAAACUCCUCUCCUCGCAACGAAGACAACAUUGUCCUUCGGUCUAUAGAAGAGAUAUCCAAAGGAUGUCUGCGGGUAGCCGAUGAAAAUACAUCGCUCACUUCGAGGUUCAAGCUUGUCGUGAGUAUCUCGUCUUACGAAAGCCUCGCAACCCCAAACCUUGAUAUGUGCCAACGAGGGAGCUUUCCCUGUCCACAUCUCGUGAGGUGUUUUGGCAACCUUCUUAGUAGGGACUCGGUUAAGGAUAUGGGCGGCAGUCUCUAAGGCAUACCCCCAAAAAGAGAUAGGUAGUGAAGCACGACUCAUCAUAGAGCGAACCAUAUCCAAUAAGGUUCGAUUACGCCUUUCUGCCACACCAUUCAACUGCGGUGUCCUAGGAGGCGUCAAUUGCGAAACUAUUCCACACUCCUUGAGAUAAUCGUGGAAUUCAAGACUUAGGUACUCUCCUCCUCGAUCGGAUCGAAGCAUCUUGAUUUUCCUGCCCAAUUGAUUCUCCACUUCAUUCUUGAACUCUUUGAACUUUUCAAAGGUUUCUGACUUUUGCUUGAUUAAGUAGAUAUACCCAUAUCUACUAUAGUCAUCGGUAAAAGUCACAUAGAAGCGGUUCCCAUCCUUCGUGGUUGAUCUAAACGGUCCACAUACAUCGGUAUGUAUUAGGUCCAAUAGACCCUCGCCCCUUUCACAUGUACUCGUGAAGGGUGACUUAGUCAUCUUUCCAAGCAAACAAGACUCGCAUGUGUCAUCUUCCCUAAGGUCGAAUGACUCCAACACUCCAUCCUUUUGGAGUUGGGCUAUGCGUUUCUUGUUGACAUGUCCAAGACGACAAUGCCACAAGGAUGCUUUAUCCAUACUAGUGGAAGAAUCAAUAUUCAAAACAUCAUUUCCUAAGUUAUCAACAAUCAUAACGGUUUCAUAUAUUCCAUUACAUGGUAUAGCUUCAAAGUAAAAGACACCAUUUAGAUAAGCCAAAAUAGAACCAUUCUCAUUAUUAAAAGAAAAUCUAAAUCCUUGUCUAUAUAAACCAUGAAAUGAAAUGAUGUUUCUUGCCAUUUCUGGCGAAUAGCAACAAUUGUUCAAAUCUAAAACUAAACUAUUCCUAAGCACUAAGGAAUACACUCCAAUCUUGGUCACAGGCGACGAUCUUCUGUUCCCCAUGAUUAGAUUGAUCCUUCCUUGCUCCACAUCCCUACUUCUUCUUAGUCCCUGCACAUUAGAACAAAUGUGAUAACCACAACCGGUAUCAAGAACCCAAGAAAUAGCAUGAUUAGAAUCGUUAGAUUUGAUUGUAUAUAUACCUGCGAAAGAUGGCUUGAUCUUUCCUUCUUUGAUUGCUUGCAGGUAAUCCGGGCAGCUUCUCUUCCAAUGUCCUAUCUUGUGGCAGUGGUGGCACUCUGCCUCCUUCGGGUUAGAGCAGGGCUUGGCGGGAUCAACUUUGGUCCCACUAGAAGAGGCACCAUCUCGGGCUUUCACCUUGCGAUAGUUCUUCGAUGAAGCUUUCCUCUUCUUUCCCUUCCCUUGUCCAAUAGCCAAGACAGGAGCAGCGGGCGGAUUGGGAGUAGGUGCAACAGACUUGUCUUUGAAGUUGCUCUCAGCAACCCUCAAGAGACCUUGGAGCUUGCUUAGGGUGACCUCUUCUUUGUUCAUGUGGUAGGUCAUCCUAAAUUGGUUGUACAUCGGAGGCAAAGAGUGAAGCACCAUGUCGAUCGCCAAGUCUUCACCGAAGUCAACAUUUAACUUGCGGAGGCGGUCAACAUACCUUUGCAUCUUUUGCAAGUGCACGGUAAGAGAUUCUCCAUGACCCAUCUUCGCGGAAAUCAUGUUAGUGAAAAUCUCGUACCUCUCUUGUCUCGCGUUUUGGUGGUACCUCUCCAAUAAGUCUUGAUGCAUCUCGUACGGGUACAUGUCCUCGUAGGACUUUUGGAAUUCGGAGUUCAUGGUGGCGAUCAUGAUGCAAUGUACCUUCGUUGCAUCUCGCUCAUGAGUUUCAAAGGCGGUGAUUUCGGCGGGAGUAGCAAUUUCGGGGUUGAUUUUCUCGAGCUUCUCAUCGAGGACAUACUCCUUAUCCUCAUAGCGAGCAAUGGUGCGAAUGUAUCUUAUCCAUUCGCUAAAGUUCGUUCCAUCGAAGGUGACCUUUUGGCAAAGGCUCAUCAACGUGAAAGAACUAGCAGCAGCGUUGUUUGCGUUCGACAUCUACAAUUAGAAAAGGACAAAGAUAGAUUAGAAUAAGAAUCCCUAAUUAUCACCCAAUAAGAAAAUUAGGGCUAGGAUCCAACAAUAACAUUUACAUACUAGAAAAGGGAUGCCGUAAUCUAACAUGCAAAUAAAUUGAAGGUAAGUGAAUGACGAUUCACUAAUUCUCCAUCACAAAACUUAAACUAUUAGUCCUAAGUGUUUUUGAGAAUUCCUAGGUUCGGAUGAGAUUCAUUGAAACUAUUCAAUGGCAUGUUUAAAUCUCGAUAUGCCCCUCUUGUUUGUGACUGGGAUGCCGAGGAUCACAAAGCGGGUGUGAAUUACCAUGCAAAUUCACAUGGUGCCUUCAUUGUAACAAUCACCUAUUCGAUGUGCCGGUAAACCACACACGCUCCAUCGAACUAUGAUAAACAAUGAAUCACCCUUUGCCACCUUCGCUUAGAACCAAUUAGUGUGCCGGUAAACCACACACGCUCCACUAACAUCUUAGCAAGGUGCAAAGUGUAAUUUCAUGGGAUUGCAUCAAUUCACUUUUCCUAAAGUAACUAGGAUUGGGAAAUUUUAAAAAAAUGUGUAGUUACUUUAUAUUUCUUAUUAUACUUUUAAUGAGAGGAUGAGGUUGCCCUAUCCUACCCGUUCGGCUAACGACCCUCCACCAAUCAAGCAAGCGGUGGGUGUGAGUGUACACCCAUUAAGCGCCAUUUUAUAGGCCGCAACCUUAUACCCACCUUAUAGAUCGGCUUCGUGAAUGAGGCCUACUAACGGUAAGACUAGCAUUUAGUUAUACAUAUAUAUAUUAUUCUAGUAAUAUCAUAUUAGUAUAGGGUUGUAUUUUAAAACUUUUAAAAUCUAGGGUUUGAAAUUUAAGUUGUCUAAAUUAAAACUUUUAAUCACAAAAGUAAAUUUCAAAACAUGAGGGUAGGUUUUAAACAUUUAAAACAUGGAGGAUCAAAUAACAAAUAAUUCCAAUUAACAAUUAAUAUCCUAAUUAUCUAUAUUUGAUUUAUUCAAGAUUUCUUUUAAAGAUAAUUACCAAAAUAAUCAAAAUAAUUAAUUAAUUAUCAUAUAAGGAAAUUAAAUAUUUAAUUAGUUGAUAAUUACCUUUAACUAGAUCAAGAUAAUAGUUAUAUUUAUCAGAAAAACGAAUUAAUGUUGAUCUAAUUAGUUUAUGGUAAGUUAAGAUAAGAUAAACACAAAGAAAUCCCGAAUCUGGCCAUUCCUGACGCCUGGACUCGCCGAGUGCACAAAUGGACUCGCCGAGUCAGGCCUACUCGCCGAGUCCACUUUGAGACUCGCCGAGUCCAUGACUCAGAAACCAAAAAUUCGAAUUUUGCAGGUUUGUUUCAGUUAAUCAAGCAACAAUUUACAGAAAACCAAGCUAGGCUCUGAUACCACUGAUGGGUUUUAGCCAUAAGAACUUUCCUAUGUGCGCAUGCAAAACCCUAAUGCUUGGAUCUAGGCUUUCUAAUAAACAUGCUUUGAAUCCAAGACUUCUAAUUACUAAUUAGGUUAAACAAGAACAUUAAAACAGAUCUAGAAUCAUACCUUUGAGUUCCUUGUUGAUCUUGAGGUCUUGGAGCUUCUAGAGUCACAAAUGUCACUCCUCUAAUGGCUUACAAACACCAAAGCAAGGAGGAUGAUUUGGGAGAGAGGAGAGGGGAGGAAUUUCGACCAGAGGUUCCUUACUUUAGGUCAAGUGUCGAAUUCCAUCAGCCAUGGGGUCUAUUUAUACUUGUAGACUCCUUAAGGAUUACAGAUAAGUCCCUAUCAGAUAAUCUUCUCUUAAGGCUAUCCAAAUCCAUUCCUAGAUAACUCUAAUGGACGAUUUUAGCUAUCCUAAUCCUCUUAGAAUUCGUCCAUAGUAUAUCCAAAUGGAUUUACAGUUUAAAGCUUAACUAUCAAACAAUUGACAGUUUAUACCCCUUUAUUUAAUUAAUCUCUUUAAGUCACCAAAUUAAUUCUAAUUAAUUCUAUGACUUAUAUUAAUCAAAUAACAAAUAUAUUAUUCAUUAUAUUAUUCCCAUAAUAUAUUAAUAAUAUUUAUUCUCUCUUAAUAAAUCAUCCUAUCAAGUUGCUAUGGUGAAGGCAACCCAAAAGGACCAUGCACAACCGGAUAUAGUUACAGCCUUAGACACUAUUCCAACAGUCUCCCACUUGGAUAAGUCUAGUAACUAUACAAGUACAAUUCGGUUUGCAAUCGUAGCUCUCAAAGACGCUGUCAACUCUGAUCUAAUCAAUCUUGUCCUUUAGAUAAGGGAACGUACAGUCCUCUGUUAGAUAUCAUGCUGACAAUCCUAUGGAAUGGUUAGUCAAGCAUUUAGGUUUCUCGAUCUCUGAUUUAUUUGACAUAGAACUUAAUCGAACACAUCAAUUCAGUUCUGACCGGGCCCGGCACAUAAGUCAAAUCAAAUCAUCGAGCGGCCGAGAUAUCGCUUUUACCUUCUUAGAUAAAAGUUACAGAUAAACUUCGACUUAUAUGCAUUUACUUAUUCAUUAACCAACUAUACACAACAAUACGUUUUAUAACACCAAGUUACUGAUGCGUUUUCGUAUUAUCAAUGUACAAUCAAUUAACAAAUAAUAAACCAUAUAUCUAGGUUUUAAGACUAUAUGAUAUUAUCGUCUUGCGAUCACCUUUUAUAUCGUAUUCCAUAAGGUGAUUCCAGCAAGCGCGGGUUUAUUCCAAUGCUCAAAACUAGUUCAUAAGCACUCAUGAACGUUGCAGCAAUCCUUUGCUAUGUCUAACACCAUUUAGACAUUCUACACACCAAUUCAUGACAAUCUUCUUUCAUAUCU
rnacentral:lncRNA from 1 species